rnacentral:rRNA from 1 species
CCUACGGGAGGCAGCAGUGGGGAAUAUUGCACAAUGGGGGAAACCCUGAUGCAGCGACGCCGCGUGAGCGAUGAAGUAUUUCGGUAUUUAAAGCUCUAUCAGCAGGGAAGAAAAUGACGGUACCUAACUAAGAAGCCCCGGCUAACUACGUGCCAGCAUCCGCGGUAAUACGUAGGGGGCAAGCGUUAUCCGGAUUUACUGGGUGUAAAGGGGGCGUAGACGGCUGUGCAAGCCAGAUGUGAAAGCCCGGGGCUCAACCCCGGGACUGCAUUUGGAACUGUGUGGCUGGAGUGUCGGAGAGGCAGGCGGAAUUCCUAGUGUAGCGGUGAAAUGCGUAGAUAUUAGGAGGAACACCAGUGGCGAAGGCGGCCUGCUGGACGAUGACUGACGUUGAGGCUCGAAAGCGUGGGGAGCAAACAGGAUUAGAUACCCCUGUAAUC